GGAGAGGUGGCCGAGUGGUUUAAGGCGCUCGCCUGGAAAGCGUGUUCACAGCAAUGUGUCGAGGGUUCGAAUCCCUUCCUCUCCGCCA
rnacentral:tRNA from 6 species